GCAAUGGCAGAUUGGGACCUACCACUGGAGGUAUGGGUAGCCCUGAAAUCGGAGGAAGGGGUAGCUUAGGGACGGUCACUGGAGGAACGGGUAGCUUAGGUACAGUUACCGGGGGAACGGGUAGCUUAGGGACUGUCACUGGAGGAACGGGUAGCUUGGGGACGGUCACUGGAGGAACGGGUAGCUUGGGGACGGUCACAGGAGGAACGGGUAGCUUAGGUACAGUCACUGGUGGAACGGGUAGCUUAGGGAUGGUCACAGGAGGAACGGGUAGCUUAGGGACGGUCACCGGAGGGACUGGUAGCUUAGGGACGGUCACCGGAGGAACUGGUAGCUUAGGGACGGUCACCGGAGGAACUGGUAGCUUAGGGGCUUUAGGGGAGUGCUUUCCGCCCUUCCGUGGGUUGCAAGAGCCGCAUGCGAGAGAAUGUUGGGGGAGAUAGAUAAUGCAAAUGAGGAAGAGGCAAAGAGAGAGAGAUGAGAGUUUGGAGGAGUCCAUGUUGAGUAGAGUGGAUGGUGUAACUAUACGAAAGAGUAUAUGAAUAUAUAGAGGGAAAAUGAGAAGAAGAAUUCACGUGAAGAUGGGGGCUACUUCUGCAAUAAGAAGAGACGCCCCAAAAUAAGCAUGGUUGGCAAUUAUCAUAAGAAUACAAGAUUUCCUUGAUGACCCAUCGCUAUAUAUCAUCACAUGUCGACCACACUUUUUUCACUUUUUUUUUUCUAAGUGCCUCUUGUUCUUGGGUUAACUACAACUUUUAACAACGUGUAACUUCAGUUUCAACAGUACAGUACAUUUAACUUGUAGGAAUUGUAAUGAAUCAACUUAGCGAGACUAGGUCAUUAUGAGAUAUCAUCAAUACUAAAUAACAUUUUGAUGAUGUAAACACUCUAGGAAAAGCAGAUAAUAUAGUAUCAUAUGGUUUUCGCUUUAGUGUGUGGCUUCAUAAGCAUCUCCAUGCAUGAGUCGACUGCUAAGGAACAUAUAGAUCUGCACCAUAGUGAAGACGGCUUAGUCUAUUCAAAACACUAAUGUUGUGCCUUUCGAGGACCUCCCGAGACUCGAAUUCGAAUGCACUCUCCAAAGGUAUUAUGUUAGGGAAAAAACCUUAUUAAACCAAAUAUGUUACUGUUUAACCCAUACACGAAAAUUAGAUAUAUAAAUGUUGAACAAAUAGCAUAUAGUUAUAUCCAAUAUAUACGUACAUGAGAGGUAAAGAAGACAGCAAGACUGACAUGUGAAAUUCGGGAUACACUUUUGUUGUUUGGUGAUUUUGUUACGUAGUGUCAUUAAAGAAACGAUCAUGUGUGCGUGGACCAUCUUCUUCUUUUUACCGCUCAUUUCCCUUUUUACCAUAUCUACUACAAAAGAGUCCGAACUGACCAUUUAAUGAACGAGUACCAUUCAAUUCAUAAACUCCCCGUAUCAAUCUAACUGACACUGUAAAAGUUAUAAUGUUAAUAUAUAAAAAUAAUAUGGUUAUUUAGCAUGAAUAAUAACUUUUUAUAAUUGAGAGUAUGUCUAGCUAACAUUGGUGAUUGGUGCUUACAUAAAUCAUAUUUUUCAAACCACUUAACAAGAACUUUACAUAUUCAAUGAUAAACGAAUCACAUUUAUACAAUAUACCAUUCAAAAAUAAUAUUGUAAGAUGAUUUGAAAUUAAACGAUUGUAAUAUAUAAUGUGUUAAAAGUAAUGUAUUAUAGAUAUCUUGUAAUUAUUUAAAGGGUUUUGUGCAAAAAAAAAAACCACUAACUCAUACAUUUUUCCAAUUUACUAUCCAGCUCUAAUAAAUGCACAUUAAUCCUAUGAAUCUAAAAUAAUACGCAUUGUAACCCUUUUUGACCAUUUUUUGCUACCAUCAAUUUUGUAAAAUAUUGAUAUAUAAUAUGUUAAAUCAAAGCUCUCGCGACCAAGAGUUCAACUCUACCUUUAAAAAUUUUAAAAUGUAAUGUAUGUAACCGUAAAAACGCUUGUAAUAUGCAUAUGAAAUUUAUAUUACAUAUUAUGUUAAACUUCAUAAGAUUAAUCUGCAUUUGUUGGUAGUGCAUUUGUUAGAGGUGGAAGGUAAUGUUGCAAAAAUAGAUGAGUUAAAAGAUUUCUUUUUGCACAAAACCCUUUAUUUAAACUACUAACAAUAUAAUAUAUAAAUAAUUUAAAACAUAUAUCUCUAUAAUUCAUGAAGUAAUAAUGGUGUACCCUAUCCUUACCAACGAAUAAUAAAGAAAUGAUAUUAACUCUGAUUCAAAAGCUAUAUAUAAGAUAUUCUUUUUUUUUCCUCGGGAGGGAUACGAAUCCGGUAACAUGAAUCAGUGUCCAAUAAGAGCCAGUGGUCGUAAAUUCCAAAUGACAGAUGGAUGACUCAUUUUAAUUCGUAACUUUUGUCAGCUGCGAUAUAUGCUAAUGAAACCUGAGGUGCUAGAUUUUGAUUUUAAUGGCUUUAGAUUCUUACUCAACACUCAAUGGCCCACUCGUUAAUCUCUUACCUUCUAAAGUGAGUUAUGAUCCACUGCUUCUUUCUUCUUGUAGAUAGAUGGACCUGUUUUUUUUAGGUUGUGAUUUGUGGACAUUAAUCAACAACCCAUGUUUAUACGUGAUAAUGUCUGGAGCUAUAUGUAAAGGCGAUAUGGAGGACAACAUUCCUCUAUUCUAACUUUAAAAGCCAUGUAGUUAGGGCUGGACACCAAUAUUCUUUUUUUUUUUGCUAAAUUGUAAAUAUCAUUUUGAUGAAAAAUCAGGUUUUACAACAGUUGUAUAACCUAAAACAUUUGAACUCUUUGGCAAAAAAGAAUAAAAAAACGAAGAGCCAAUCGAGAGCUGCAUAGAACUCGGUAGUUUCAUAGCAGCCACAACGCUAUUAACUUGCGAAAAAGGAGUCUGUUUCUUCUUGAGGUGAUAACGUUUUUGAUUUUGCGGUUGAUGCACUUGAAUAUAGAAUGCGGAGAGAGGGAAGUAGCGUUGUGCAGGACAUUGUUAGGCUGCUUCAAGAUGUGGAAGACCUUAGACUGAACGACAAUAAUUUUAAGAACUGAUGAAGCCAAUAUUCAUCAUUUUCAAACAAAAAAUAUCUUUUGUUUGACACCAAUAUCCUUGACCAGCUUCAAACAAAGGAUAUACAUCAUUUUUAAGUCGGGUAAGGCAAAUGAGUAUAAGGAUUCUCAUUACACAUCUGGUUGCCAAAAACUUUUAGUCAAAUACUAGUUACAAUCUCAGUUUUUUACCCCAAACUUUUUGCCACUUAAAAAACUAGGGGUGGGCAUUCGGGUAAGCGGGUCGGGUUCGGGUUCGGGUAAAACCCGAUCAGGUAUAAAGAAGUUUAGGAUCUAAUAGGGUAAAUCUAAAAUAUCGGUUCGGUUUCGAUUCGGGUCCAACCGGGUUCGGAUAUAGAUUUGUGGCCUUUUUUUAUCCAGAUUUUUCGGGUAAAAUUUUGGAUUUCGGAUAAAAUUUAGAUUUUUGAAUAAAAUAUUUGGGUAUUUUCGGGUUCGAGUUUGUUUUUUCGGGUAGAGAAAUUUAGGAUCCAGUAAAGUACAUCUUCGGAUUUGGAUUAAGUUUCAGCUCUAAUUUUUCGAGUUAGUUUCGGUUCGGAUAAUCGGUUCUGGUUUUUUGGCCCGGCUCUAUAGAAAACCAUCAAUAAAUAUUUUAAUCCUAUUUCUGCCUCAUUACUCGAGAAAAUAUUCGACCCGUUUUAUUACUUGAUAAAUUUACAACUAUAUAUUUAUGUAAUCUAUUUCAUAUUAGUAAAAUAUAUUAAAUUUGUUAUUAAAACCAAAUAUCUUUUGAGAUUAGGGCAAUCAAAAGUUAAGGUCAAGCAAAUGUCUCCUUUCUAAAUGUUUUUGUGGGUAACGGUAAAGGACAAAUAUACAGCCCAUGCCCAGACCUACAAGUAGCGACUCCAUUACUACACAGUAAGAUUUUUAUUAAUAAAAAUGUGCAUGGUUUCAUUUAAAAGUCAUUGCUAACACUUCACUUUACAGUAAUAUUCAAUUUCAUACCUUUAAACGUUAAUCAGAAUCGCCAAUUGGAAGCCAGUCACUGGAAUCACCUUCCGAAUCCUUGCUAUGUCCAACUUGGCUCUUGCUGAGCUGAACCCAGCUUGACCCGCUUGCGUUUGAUGCUGGUCUUUUCAGUGUACUCCUGUUGGGACUUGGCUUCUCCGAGAGAUCAUCGACAUCUAAAUCACUAAAGGAGAUUACCUCUUCAUCUCUGAAACUCCUCCGUUGUUCUUCAGAUGACUCAUCACUUAUCUCCCUUUGCUCAAUUUUUAGAGUCUCUAUCUUGUCAAUGACUCCCUCAACGGUUUCUGUUUCCCUACUGCUACCUUCUUCAGGAGUUUCGUGACCAGUAGUGCUCUUGCUUGACCCUGUCUCUUUCUUUUGCAGCUUUAGUAAAAGUUGAUCCCUUGUUUCAAAUACCUGUGCCGCACAAUAUAGUUAUUAAAGUUUCAGAAAUAGGUACAAUAGUAACUUGGGAAAAAAUGCAGAGCAUAAAAGAUAUAAAACAAUCCAAUUUUAAAAGCAUCAGGCAAAAAUACAUUUUUUCCUGAGGCUAUACUUGUUCUUAUUGCAAUCGGUUGAAGGGGUCAUUAUAGCAUAAACGUUUACGAUUUUAAUAAUAUUGGAUCAAUACUGACAUUUCAGAAGAAUGUAUUUCCAGUAUACAGUCUUACCUUGCAUGUUGCUAAGAGUUCAAAAUCAUGCCCAUUCAGUCUCGGCAUCAGCAAAAUAAAAUAAAUCAGCCAGAAGUGUUCAUCAUCCAUGUAACUACUAACUUGAUUCUUCACAGCUACAAGGCCAGGAACCAAAUCUUCAAUGGCUGAUGCAUGUGCCCUUUGAGCCUCAGACAGUUCAAAUUCUGCAAUGUGGACAUGAAAAGUUGGAGAAAAACUUCAGCAUAAUUCAGUAGGUAAAAUUGAUGUAAACCACCAAUGCUUUUUAUCAGGAAGUGUUUCGACAACAUUUUCAAGCAAACCAAGCCUAUAUACAAAAGGUUGUACAGGAUGACGAUAUGCUUCGCAAUAAAAUAAAUAAAAAGAUUUAAGUGGCAUAUGGAUUGAACUAUAUAUAUAUAUAUAUAUAUAUAUAUAUAUCCCAAGAAGAGACUGCAGACCCCGUCAAGUUUAUUCGUAAUUCCUGGAGAUCUAUCUAAAGAACAGGGACUUCAAAAAAAAAAAUUAACUGCAGAAACAAUCAAUCUUGUCCAAACAGGUCUAGAAUAAAACACAUCAAGAGUUAAAGACUGAAGCAUAAUCAUCUUUGGCGACUGAAAACAAGUCAACUAUAUUUCCAAGAACAAUCAUGUUUAUUCCUGCAUGGCUGCAAGUUCGUCGACAAUAUCUUCAAGGUAUGAAAAAUGUGAUCUACAGAGAGUAAUGGGACCCCGAGAUCCUAAAGACCUGAGCUUGAAGAAAUAUAUCCCAAGAGGAGAUGGCAGGACCGGUCUAACCUAAUCUAAAAUACUAGGAAAUCUCUCUAAAGAACACCAGAGGCUACAAGCAAUCAACUGUACAAACAAAAAAAAUAUUUUCCUAAUAAAUCACAGUAAGAAAAUCAUAACUAAACAUAGAUAGUUAGAAACCACCAAUGCGGUGCUUCGACUAUACUUUCAAACUAACAAAGCCUAUAUACUGGGAACAAAAAUAUGCUUGAAGAAAUAUGUCCAAAUAAGCUUAAUCUGUAACCCUAGUGAUCCCACUAGAAAGCCAAUCAACUGUAGAAGCAAUCAAUCUUUUCCAAAUAAAACCUAUUUUAGUAACAAUUAUGUUUGCCUACUGGGAAAAAAAAAAGUCAAUGCAGAGCUUAAGACUAUUGAGAAUCAAGCUUUAUGAUUCCUCUAUUGACUAUACAGGAGCAUUACCAGUAUCGAGUGACAAUGGAAAAUCUGUCCAACAACCAGGUUUCGUCGAGAUUUUAACAGCGAAAUCGACUACUUCUUCAGAGAUUCCAGGAACUUGAUCGUUCAACGGAGAUCUUCUACUACUUUCUCUAUCUCUUAGAUUACUAGGAAAUUGGAGUAAAUUAGAUGCGAAAUUGGAGAAAUUUCCACGAAUCUCGGCUAGAUCGUUGCGGAUCCCGAGAAGACCUAGCUGAGUUGGUGAAUUAUCAGAGGAGAGUCGGCGUUCGUUUACAGGUGGAGAAGGAGGCGGUGCCAGGAAAGCUGCGACGCCACGGAGUAAGGAAGAUAAAUCUUCUUUGACACCGCCAUGAGUUGUGGAAGGAUCGGGAUCGGGAUCGUGAUCGUCAUCGCCGCGAGAUUUGAAGAGCCAAGACAUGGUUUUUGAGUGAGAGAGGUUGGAUUUGGGGUUUUCAGUUUUUUUUGCACGGGGUUACGAAUAGCAAGAGAGAAGAAACGGUACGUUUUAAUACCUUUCCAAAACGCACCGUUUGUUGUUUGUUCGUUUUGAUACCUUCCCAAACGUGAAAUAAACGAACAAUAAUUAUACAAAAUAAACGGAAACAAAACCUACUUUUUAAAACGGGAAAAUAUCGUUUUAUACGUGAUGUUUUUAAGAAUGGUCAUUUUAUAUGUAAACUUUUAGAUCGAUCAAAUAAAAUAUGAUAAAAAUGUUGAUCCGCUAUUUAAACAAAACAUAAAGUUUGCCUGGCCAAAAUUUCCGAAAUGUUAACUUGUAUUAACGGAUCUGAUAACCCUCGUUAGCAGACGUUAGUCGUCUUCCGUUAAUACCAAACGAUUUUUUGUGAUGAGUACAAACCUUAAAAUUCCCAAAUCGAUUUUUCAUUCCCUAAUUCUUCAUAAUCCCCAAAAUUUGAACUAUUCUCGAUAUAUUUUUUUUGAGCUCAAAAUCUCCAUUUUGUGUAGAUAUGAGUUUAAAAAAUUUGAGUGUUCAAGAAGGAGGAAGUGGGAACCUUGGGUUUCCUUCAAAGUGUCAUUGGGGGAGAGAUUUCAUCAUCUAUAUAUCAAGCUCGACGAAGAACCCAAGAAGAUCCUUCUUCUGUUGUCCAACAUAUCAAGAUGUAAGUAGAUUUGAAUUUGUUUUUUUUGGUGUUUGAUCGGUAAAAAGUUGUCGUUGUAAAUGCAGGACCAUUUGUUUAAGUGAGUCGAAGAUUGUGUGUAUGAAGAGGUUGUAGAUGCAAUACUGAUAAUCUCUAUGAUUGAUAGCUAGAUAAACAAUGUCAAAUUUCAGGUUGUAGUCGAGAUUGCAGAAUUAAAGGUUUUGAUCCAAGAAUUGAAGGAAGAUGAAAUGUGGAGCAAAAUGGAAUUGAAGAUAUGGAAAUCGAUGACCAAAUUGUGCUUGGUGUGCCUUUGUAUAACAGUCAUUGCAAUUAUGAUCAUAAUGUUCUAUAAGACCAAAAACCAUAAGCUUGUUCUUGGUUACUAGUGUUUUGUGUUUGUAAUAAAAUGUUUUUAUGGUACUGAAAUGUUUGUUUGGCAAUGAUAAUCAGUCCUAGUGUUUUGUCUUAGUGUUGUGAUUGUAAUGAAAUGCUACUAGAUGCUUGUUUAACAAUGAGAAUCACCAAAAUGAAACUCAUUCAUACAUUAUAAAACUUGUGUCACAAAGACAAGUCGAAACCACAAAAUGAAAUCGAUACUAAGCUUAUGUCAUAAAGACAAAUCCAUUAUGUCAACCACCAAAAAUAAACUUAUGAGAAAGCUUAAGUUCAAACAACAACAAAAAGAAACUUGUGACUAAUCUUGUCUUGAACACUCAAACCAUGAUGCAAAUCCACCAAGUCCUUGUGGUUGAGCAUGUGGCUCAGUUUGUGCUUGUGCUUGUGGUUCUGUUUGGGAUUGUACUUGUGAUGCUCCACCUGUCUCCCUUGGUCUUUCUGAUGUUCCGCCUGUUGCCCUUGGUCCUUGUGAUCGAAUAUGAGAUUGUGAUCCUUGAUGAGGUUGUGAUCCGUGUAUUUGCUCUUGCGAUUCGAGCACUUGAGAUCGUGAUCCUUAAUGAGAUUGUGAACUUUGAUGAGGUUGUGAUCUUAGCACUUGUGAUUCCUCCUAAGUUAAAUAUGACAGUCUGAACAGUUGCAUGAUUAAGUGAGUUGUAAAACAUAUAAAAAAAAACAAGAAUACAAACCUGAUUUAUUCGUGGAUGACCUCUUGGUCUCUUUGGUGGAAUCAGAAUAGUGGCAUUUUUGCAGCUUUGCUUGUUUGCCCUUGUUGAAGGCAGUUAGAGCAUGUCAUGAUUCUCUUUUGCAGUGGCAUCUUGUUCUUAUUUGAAGAAGAAGAAGUCUCAUUUCUUCCUUUUCUCCUAACAUAAUUACUCGGUCUUCCAACAUUUCCUUUUGUCCAUGGUGGUGGCAAAACAGGGAGCCUAUUGGUUUUAGGCCACAAUGGCAUACCUUGGACAAGGCUAAUACCAUCUUUAUAAGUUUUUCGCCAGAUUACCUUUGUGUAAAACUUGCUCACAUAGUCUGCAACUGUUUCUCUUCUUCCUAUUAUCACAGGUGUCGCAUAAAUACAUGGGAUCCCCACCAUCUACCACUUCCUGCGACCACAAGUUCUCUUCUCCGUAUCAACAUAGUAGCUAACACCAUUCACAUCAAUUUGAUACAAAUUGUUUCUGGACAUAUAUCUCUCGCAAUUUCUAACCCCAACUAUCAUUUUCUCAAUCUCAAGAUGGGCUCUCUUUGUGAACCUUGUCUUCAAUUUGUCAGCAAUGAUAUACGUCUUCGUAGUUAUGACCAUGCAUUACCUCUGGAUGUACUCUAGCUAAUCCAACAAAGGCUUUCUCCUAGCCUGUUUAAUAGUCUUAUUAAAAGACUCACACUGAUUAUUGAGGCUGUCAUUGCAACGUGUCCAAUUCUAAAGAAGGCUCUCGACCAUGUCAUUGGACUAGUAAGUUGCGAGUGGCAUGCGCAUGAGGAUUGUAUCUCUUUAGCUCUUCCAUAUUAUUCAUGAACACUUCUUCAGUGUAGCUUCAAAUUGUUUUUCAAAGAGACAUUGUAGUUCUAUCUCAUGGUUGUCUCUCUUCCAAUUGUCCAUUAUAUGCCUUGAAUAUUGUCGAUGCUCAACUUCUGGAAGUAUGGUAUUGAUAGCUUUGACUAGACCCUGUAAAAUAACACAAAAACAUAAGCGUAAACCCUUCAUAAAAGACAUUAAACUGAAGCAAAAGAUGAUAAAAUUAACUGAUUAUUUAUCUGAAAUGAUAACUAGAUGUUGCAUUUCACAGUCCCAAACUAGUAGAGAGCUGUCUCAAAAACCAGUCCCAAUUAUCAUUGUUUUCUAUCUCAACAACUGCCCAAGCUAUAGGAACAAUCCUCUUAUCUCCAUCUCUUCCAACUACAGCUAAAAGGUGACCUUUUACAUCCCAUUUUAGAAAACCCAUCUAUUCCUAUCACAGGUCUACAAGUUCGCUUCCAAGAAUCCUUUUGAGAUUUAAAGCAGAUAUAGCACCAGAGAAAAGAAUCCUUUUGUGAUAUAAAGCAGCUAUAGCAUCAGAGAAACCUUUGCUUGCUUCCAAUAAAAAGCCCUACUGUUGUCUCUAUCUCAAACUCUGUCUCUGGGUUCUACUUUAAAACCUCCGCUUGAUAAUCUCAUAUUCUUGAAAAGUGAUCAUUAUGAGUAGCAUGUCAUGCUUUCAACACUUUGGUCUUGGCCUUUGCACAUUGGUCUGGAGUCACAUCCAAAUUGAAUUCUCUCUGAAUCUCAACAACCAUCUCGUUCUUUGAAAUAUUUGGAUUCACUCUCAGCCUUUCAUCAAACAAAAGUGCAAUGGAAGACCGCUUCAACAUCUUUGAAUAUCCUGACCUAACACAAGUAUGCAUAUAAAAUCUUACUUGCAUCUUAUGUUUUGUCUUCUCAUACGAACAAUAUACUUUCCAACCACAUUUAACACCAUCAACACCAAUUUAUGACCACUUCGCAGCAACAACCAUAGAUUCAGACCCAUAAAGAGAAAUGGUAUACCAUGUCUUUAAAGAGUACAUCAAAAGAACACGCUUGAAGUCGUGUUUAUAUCCUCUUCACCGCGUAAACCACCAUUAUAAUCGUUAUCUCCACCACCAACCACAUCAUCAACGACAUUGCAGUCUUCAUCACCAUACACGGCGCAGUCUUCUUCAUUUUUCAGGGUCAGGCUCAAAUGUAGGUUCUUCAUCCUCCUCUUUUUAAUGUCUGACUCUUCUUCGUUUUUGUUUUCAAAGCCGCUUUGAAACUCGAGCUUUAACUACGAUAGAAGACUCUACUACGCCUACAGCCGGCAGAGCUAGAACUCCGUUAUCAAACUCUAAAACUGCUUCCGCUGGUGGAGCUCGAACAACAUCUUUGGUGUCAUCUUCGCCUCGUGGUGGAGCUUCAUCAUUGUCUAAUUUGCCUUCCAUUGAUACAAUCUAGGACUCCAAGGAUACAAAUUCAAGAUGAAAUCAAAUCAAAAUCGCGAUUUCGCCAAAGUAAGAAUUAGGGAUUUGGUUUUUGGAAAUUAGGGAUUUUGAAAUCAAAAUGGGAAUUUCUGUUUCAGUUUAUGAAACGACAUUGUUUUAGGCAUUAACAGAAAAAAUUAACGUCUGCUUACAGGGGUUAUCGGAUCUGUUAAUGCAAGUUAACGUCUCGGGGAUUUUGGUCAGGUCAACUUUAUGUUUUGUGUUAAAUGGCGGGUCAACGUCUUUAUCAUGUUUUAUUUGGCCGACCUAAAAGUUCACGUAUAAAAUGGCCACUUUUGAAAGUUCACGUAUAAAACGACAUUUUUCCCUUUUCAAAAACCUAAUUUAUUUCGCAUAAUUAUUGUUCGUUUUGAAAAGUAGGUUUUGAUUUAAUAUUAAAUUUAUUCGGGGAAAAAGAAUUAUACAUUUACAAGUAGGAAAAAUGGGUAAAAAAAACCUCACCUUUCCCAAAUACAUUUAAAAAAACCUCAACUUUUUGUAGGUUUUUAAACCCUCACCUUUUCAAAAAUGGUAAAAUAACAAUUAGCAUUAUUAAACCAAAUAAAUACAAAUUAAAUACUAAAUAAACUAUUAUAUUAAGACAUAAAAAACAACAUAAUUUAUAAUCUAUCUUUUCCAAAUUUGAGUUUAGGAUUUUUUUUCUUCUAGAAUUUAGUUGUUUUUUGUGAUAUAAAAAAUAAGUUUCAUUGCCAUUAGAAAUUGGUAUGUAAACUAAAACAAUUUAUAACAUAGCACAUUUUAUUUUAUUUGUGUUCAACUAUGUUCUAACCUUUGAAGUUUUGGAUUUAAAAUGGAUAAAAUUUAUUAACACAAAUUUGAUCUAAACUUGAGUGACCUAAUAUUUGUUCUAAACUUGUGUGAUCAAAACUUUAUUCUAAACUUAAGUGUCCAAACCAAAUAAAAUUUUAUUAAAUAUAUUUUAUAUUUAGUUAUUACAAAAUUAGUUUAGUUUUACGUUGAUGAAUUUCUUGAACUCAACCAAAUUAAUCUUGUUUCAGUUCACUGCAUAUGUAGAAGAAUAUAUAUCUAUAUAUAUAUACAUAUAUCAUACCUAAAAUAAAAUAAUUAUUUUUAUCCAAAAUUUAAUUAAACUUACACUCGAAACAAAAUAAAUAAACUUUGAAUAGACUUUGGAUAUGUUAUCUUCAGUAUGAAACCAAUUGUCUGAACCAAAUUUAAAUUGUUUUCACAUAAAACAUUUUACUAGAAGAAAAUAUUUAAGAGCUAUGUCUUUGGUUAGAUUAGAAUCGACAUAUUUCGUUUUCAAGAUUGUUUAGUGGUAGUUUGUUGUUUUGCGUCAAGUUUUUUUUAAUGUUUUCUUUUCCUAUUUUUGUCGGGUUCAUCUCUUGCUUUUGGACCGGUCAAUCUAUAACUUUUCACCUUUAUAAUAAUAGGUAAAGCGGUUGUGUGACUCUUUCAUUUUCCUCUACUCAAGUUUAAGACUAAAUCUGGUCAAAUUUUUAUUAGACUAGUUAUGAUGGUUUGUUAUAAACCAUUUCACAACUGUUGAAAAAAUUAUUUCCACUACAAUGGUUUAUUGUAAUCGAAAAGUAAGUGAGAUGGCAAAUUUAUCAACACUCAUGAGAGUAGAAGAAAGAAGAUAAGUGUGACAAGUGUUAUAUUUUGAUUGGUUGCUUUUUUUUUUUGGACAAAAGCUUGUUUUUAUUCAAUUAAGAGAGAAACAAGUACAAAGGAACAAGGAUUCUAAGAUCCCAAAGUUUAAAGGACAACAAAGGUAGGCAUUCCCAACACCAUAAGAAGAAAAGCUAACACACAAAUAAGGUACAUCAACAAUGGUUCCAUGAGAGCUAUAAUCCAAACACUUGAAGGGAAUUUGUUACUUUUAAGAUCAAGGAUUGUUGACAAAUCUUCCACGAACAAAGUAGUGGAUGAGAGUAUGGUUACUGUCAAAAGACUUAGUAACGUUAACAAGGGCGCCAAAGACAUGAAUCUCGUCGGGACGAGAAGUACUACACCAAGUAGUGCUUUUGCAAAGGUUCGAACAAGGUUUUGGUAAAGGAAGGAGGAUCGUCGAGGCUUAGAAAGAUUGAUGCGAGACCGUAACAGAACAGGUGGGUCCUCUCUCCCAAGAAGACCAAGGAGAUUAAGGAAUUCCACACAAAGCUUGUAGUCGGUUUGCCACAUGAAGAAAAGGCCAGACAUGAGGAAAUUGAGUAGAUAUCACUUUGAGGCACUAGUCAAUAGGGAGGGAUCUCUCACAAGAGAAUUGAGAAGUUCAUGUUGAAGCUUGAUCCAAACCCGGGGAGUAAUGGUGAAUGGGAGGUUCUUGAAGUUGGUCGAUAUAGUUGUCAGUAUGAAAUACUUUGAUAGAGAGUUUUGGUGACUAGCGUCACAUCUCCGACAGAUUGGACUAAGAAACACUAGACCAUGAAUCUUCAAAACGGAAUCAUAAAACAUUGCCCUAGCUAAACCUAGCACCAAGGUUCUCAGAUAAUAUUUGUAGGAGCAUAUCAACGAGGGUGAUUCGUCAUUCAAGUGGUGUCCCUAACCCCUCAAAAUAAAGAAACGAUGUCUACAUUGGGAUAGACUCGGCAAAUUGCAGAUGGAGGAAUACCUGGAUUUUUGUGAUAAUAGGUUUGGGUCGCAAUUUAUGGGCUUGGGCCGCGAGGGAAAUGGGCCAACAUUGGAGACAGGGCCCAUCAAAGAAAACCCUCGAUUCCAGAUUGUUGGGCAAGGAGCGUUGGGAGUGCGGCGGCUACGGUAGAGAGGUACGAAUUGCACAAUUGAAGCAGACGUCUCUGAUGUAAAUAGAGUUAGGGUGAACAAGCUGCAUGACGGGUCCGGCGCUGAGGCUAUAACAACGGCUAAUGGUUUGGCAAAAGAACGUCGGAGAAGCCUUAGGGAGCCGAAAGGUCCCGCAGAUCUAGUAACGAUGAGGAGGCGGAGACAAGGCUCAGGUUGGAAGGAUUGGUCGCCUAUGAAAUUGAAAGCUUCACAAACUGUUUUCUUUGAUUCGCAAGGUUUGGACAGAGAGUGUAGCUUGCUCGGAGGCCACAUUUUGCCUAUGUCGGAGAAUACUGCUUCAAAGAAGAUUCAACAGCAAAGAAGAACUCGAUAGAUUUGGAUUAAAAGGUUUGCAACAGAAGAAAACUAAAUUACAACGAAGAAGUAGAUGAAAGAUUGAGGAAAUAGCUCGAGAGAUGAGAGGGAGGUUCCGAUGCCGGCGAGCAUUUGCUCCACCGACGUCGGAAAGAUGAAGGGAGAUAGUUUCCUCGAUAUUAGUGUCUAUUAGCUCCACCGACGUUGAAAAGAUGAAGGGAGAUAGUUUCCUCGAUAUUAGUGUCUGGGAGAGAAACUCUUUAAAAUCUUAGUCUCGCAAAAAAUUUGAUUGGUUGCUUUGAUUUCUAUAUUUUUUUUCUUAAUUACAUAACUUUAAUUAUUUCAUAAUAUUUAUAAAUAAACAUAUCAAAAUUUACAAUUUUUCAUUCUCUAUAAAUAAACACUAUCUUCAUUUGAUUUGGACAAAACAAAAAUAAUCUUUCUUUAGAAAAAAAAAAGUUUAGUCUCCAAUAAACUUUUGUUUUAGCUUUAAAUAUACUUUUAUCUAAAUGGAUCCAAACAAUAACCUUUCAACACCCAAAACUUUUCUAAUUACUUUUAAACUAUCCAAAUCCCAACAAUUAUUAGUUGCAGGUGUGUCAGAAGGACAUUGAACGAGCAUUUGGAGUGUUGCAGGCUCUAUUUAAAAUUAUUCGCGAACCAGCUCGACUGUGGGACAUAGCCGAUUUGACUAUCAUCAUGAGGUCGUGUAUCAUAUUGCAUAAUAUGAUUGUUGAUGAUGAACGACAGACGUAUACUCAACAUUGGACUGAUUAUGAUCAAUCUAAGGCAAGUGGGCCGAGUACAUAACAACCAUUCUCGACCAAAGUGCUACUUGUAUUUGCAAAUCAUCUGCGUGGUAGAUCCAAGUUGCGUGAUUCAAAUGUACACCGCAAAUUGCAAGCAAAUCUAGUCAAACAUAUAUGGGCACAAUUUGGAAUUUUCCAUGGUGAAUGAGAUUUUUAAGUUUGUGAGUUGAGAUUAAUAUACUAAUUAAGUUACAAAUGUUUCCUUACUUGUUGUGUGCGUAUUGUAUUGCAUUUUAAAUCUAUGUUCAUUGUAUGUGUUUUAGUAAUGAUUAUUUUUAUUUCUAGUUUUUAUUAUUUAUAAAGUUUUUUUAAAAAAUAUAUACAAAUAUUAAAACAAAAACUAUUUUAUAAAAUUUAUUUAAUAUUUAAUUAUUUAAAUUUAAUUUAAUAUUAACGGUGAUUAAUAAUAUUUAAUCACAAAAAACAUAAACAUAAAUAAAAUGAAAAAUAUAAAAUAAAAAUUGUGGGAUAAGGUGUUGUAAUUUUAUCAAACAAAACUAUUGUAGAGGGAAAAAAUUAUGUAGGUGUGGAAUAACGAUGUGGAAGAGAGAGAAAACGAUGUGAAGUGUUAAAAGGGAAAAAAAGGGUGUUGUAAAUGGGUAACCAUUGUAGAUAGUCUUAGGAAGUGAAUGGUGACUUUAAGAUUUGCAGAUUUCGAAAGAAAAAGAAAAAAAUGCACUAAUGUCACCAAUCAGACAUAUGUGUGUAAUUUGUUUUUUUUUACAGAUAAUUUGGCACACACAUUUCAAAGCAUGUUAAUACACUAGGGAUAAAAGAAACACACUCUACUAUCGUCCAAGGGAUAUUUGGCAGCGCUUAACUAAAAACUUGCAUUACACAGUAAGUAAUAAAUCAAUUAUUUAAUUAAUAAUAAAAUGUACCUAUAAAUCAGAUCAUGUACUCUAAAACUAUUCACACAUUACAACCAAAAACAACAUCCUCUCAUAUUUCGCUCCAAUCCAAAAGAAAAAAAAAACAAUCUCCCACCCUUUCGUCAUAUAUUACAACAUUUAAAUGUAAAUUACUUUUACUAUACUAGUAUAAUAAUUACUUAUAACAAAAUAUUUCUAUGUAAUUAAGGUCUCUUUAUAAAUAAAUAGGACUGAAAUUAAGUAUAUAAAAUUGUUCAAAAUUUAGUAAAUCAUAAAAUGUUAUAUUUAUGUACAUAUUUAUAUGACUAUGUUUUAUUUUUAUAUUCAUAACAUCAGUAUUAAAUUUUAAUCAAAUCAUAGAAAUUUUUAAAUAUGUAUAAUAAAUGGUUGUGAUAGUAUUUACUAAUCAAGAUGUAUAUAUAUUUAUUAAAAAGAGAAAGGAAAAUUUUGAAGAUAUACAAAAUUACUAUUUUUUUAAAUUAUAGUUUAGUAUAUUUAUAUUAGAUGGUAAUAUGAUAUUAUGAAUUUUUUCAAAACUUAAUUAAAUCAAUUAAUUUAAUCAUAUCAAAAGUUACUUAAAUCAAUUCAUUUCCAUCAUUAUUAAAUUUUAAACAAAUCAUAGAAAAUUAAAAUAUGAAAAGAAAUGGUUGUGAUAGUACAAUAAAGUGAUUCCGAGUUCCCUUUGCCUCCGUCGGAGAAGUAUUAUCUAGUUGAUUAUGACUACCCAAACAAAUAAGGAUUUCUAGUUCCUUAUAGAUCGUCAGGAAAUCGAGUUGUGAGAUAUCAUAUGUCUCAAUUUUAUUUUGGUCCUCCUCCUAGAAACAAACAUGAACUAUUUAAUAUGUCAUGCAUCUUUACGUUCUGUUAUCGAGAGAACUUUUAGAGUUUCGGAAAAGAAAUGGAGGAAUCUUUUUCAUUUUCCUAGAUAUAAUAUUCAUAUUCAAAAAAGAGUGGUAAUGGUUAUAGUGUGAUUACAUAAUUUUAUCAGAAUUUCAAACUUCUCAGAUGUAGAUUUUCUUGAUGUAAUGACAGAGACAAAUAUAAACUACAGAGAUUAUGAUCAUCAUUUAGAUGACAUAGAAGCAACAGAGAUAACAAAUGGAGAACAUAUGAUGCCAAUAAAAGACAAUAUUGCAAAUAUGUUAUGGCAAAAUCAAAAUAAUAUAAAAUAUUUUUUAAUGUUUUUUAUGAUGAAAUUAGUUAAGGCAUGUAACAAUAUGUAUGUUACAAAAUUAAAUUUAUAUUUUGAUCAAUUUUUGUAUUAGUGGUUUAUAAAUAUCUGUUAUUGUUUAUUUAUUAACACAAAAAAUUAAUUAAUUAUUAAUAUAUAUAUAUAUAUAUAUAUAAUUUAUAAUUCGCACCGCAUGUAGUUUUUUCACCAAUCAAACAUUAUUUUGUACCGCUUAUUUUGAAUAAACCGUACUUAUCCCGCAAAUAUAUUUCUCCUACACGAACCGCAGUUUAACCGUACUACACUUCAAUAACGCUUUCCCCGCACUAUAAAAACCACGGUUACCAUUCGGACCCUUAGAGCUUGUUUAAAAAAUUGCUAGGCGUUAACCGGGCAUUCGGGGACUUAUCGAUAUUAGUUUUUAACAUUUUAAUAUUGAUAUAUACAUAUAAAUUAAAUAUCGGAAUAUAUGACAAUGGAAUUAAUUUGGUUGAGUGUCAUCUUUUUUUAUUUGGAAAUUGCACAAUCUAUACUCUGAGGAGUCGUUAUUUAGGUUCCCAAAAAAGCAACUGUUUGGCUGGUACUGUGGAUGUGGAAAUUGCGCAUGUAUGAAAAUAUAUUGUGUGAGACGGCUUCAUUAAAAUCUUAUUAGAUUAUUAUUGUUCUUCGCAUGUGGUUUUUGUUUUCUAUAUGUUUUUUAUUUAUUGAUUUAUGGGGAAACCAAUCAUCAUCAUCAUUUCCCUUCCAAUACGGAGAGCUUGGCAAUGCGAAAGAUUUGGAUGGCAAAUGUUUGGUAUAAAUUUUUCGACCCGUUAAUAUUAUAAUCUUGAUAUUAUUUUUGUUAACGUCAUUAAUCUUUUGCAGACGUAUGUGGAGCCUAUCAUUUUCCCUGACGUGGAGAUGAACCCGAAAGAAGAUUUAACCUGGUCUGACGAUGAGGAAGAUGUGAUGGGUUGAUAAUAUCGUCAUGUUAGUUGGUAAAGGGAUUACUUUUCAGCUCCCUCCAUUCUGAUUUGCCAACUCCUACAAAUGCUAAGGUUAGUUAACUGAUAUUUAUUUUAUAAUCGUUGUGUUUAGUAGUUUAGCAACUAAGUAUUAUAUGUGAGUAGCUAUAUUUUUUCUUUAUUUUUGUAGCUUUUUUGCCUCUGUUUCAGAGUUUUCAAUUAUCUCCAAGAUGUUGCAGGUAAACAAAUCUGUUGAGGUCCUUGAUCAUCGAGAUGAAGAACCGGUUUAUUUAUUUACACUCCAUUUUUGUUUAACUUUACUGUACAUUUUUGUUAACCCCCUCCAUAUUUUAUUAGCCGGUAAGAUUGUUAUCAUUCAUUUUCUUUUUAAUUAUUUUAUUCUGUCUUGCAGACCAAAAUCAAUCCUUCAAAAUUAACCACUACAGUCGAGGAAGAAAAGGAUUCUAAGGAGGUUAGAUAAUUCUUCCUUGUUUUUAACUUUCAUUUGGUUAAAUCCUUAACCGGUGAUAUAUUGCAUGUUUCAAUUUUAGGAUUUUACCACUCCACCCCUGUCAACCCAGUCUCGCUCUAACGUGAAGGUUAUCUUCUAACUAUGAUGUUAUCGCUUAUUGUUUAUAUUCAUCUUCCACGUUUGUAGGAUGUGGUGUGCCCUGCAAGUGUGUAUGCGGAUUAGCUGUUAAAAAAAAUAUUUCCAAGACGCAAGAAAAUUCGGGCUGCCCCUUCUUCCGCUGUGUAAGCAAAAGAGACGUGAGUUAUUUCCUCUCUAAAAACGAUGUUAUUAGCUUUUCUGGUAGCUACACGUUUUGCUAGUUAACCUAUCAUUCUUUUUGUAGGGACAUUUGUUUAAGUGGGUUGAGGAUGUUGUAUAUGAAGAAGUGGAAGAUGCAUUGGUUAGACUUGUAUCGAUUUAAAAUGAGGUAAAUGAUUAAAAGCGCAGGUCAUCCAGUUUUGUGUUGCUAUAAAAGAGUUGAAGGCAGAUUCAGUGUCCGACCAGUUGGUGAUGCUUAUGUUGAAAGUGGGCUUGCUUUUCAGAUUUGUCUUCUCUCUUUUUGUAGCUUUUGUUAUCGCAACACUUCUUAAAAUAGUCGAUAUUAAGUUCAUUAGUAGUUUUUAAUGUCUAUCUUUGUAAUGUUUCAUAGUUUCUAUAAUUCCCUAUGUUUAAGAUAUUAUAUUUGUUAGUCGUUAACCAUGUAAUAUAUACCUUGUAUCAAUCUUCUGUCUAUAUAAUAUUUUAUAACUUCUCAUUUAUUUCUUUAUUUUUGUACCAUUUGCACAUUCUUUAGGCGAUAUUUAUAACCAUUUUAAAACUUAUCUUUUAUUUUAAUUUUUUGGUAGCAUUUUCACAUUUAUUAAGCGAUAAUCUAAUUCUUAGCCAUCCAGCUGUGGUCCUAUCUUCUUAUUUUAGGACGCUAGUUAUCUUUUUUCUUAGUAUUGCAAAUUUUAAGAAGAGGGUCUAUAUCUUGGUACAUAUUUUGUUACAGAAUAUCAUUCAACAUAAACAUAUAUUUAACAUUCAGAAGGAAGGUUUGUUGGGAUCGUCCCUGAUUGCAGAUAAUACACAUUUUUUGGAUCAGUAAUUGUACGUAUAUACAUUGAAAAUUUUCUGAUCUCCGAAUUCUUGUUAUUUAUAAAACAUGACUUCUCGCGAGUCUUCUAAGCACGGAACCAUCCGUUCAAACCCUCCCAUAGUCCAAAAAAACAGUCCUCUCCUUCCAUCUUCAUCCGCAAAAAAAAAAUUUUCCUCGUCGCUUACUUGCCUCCAUGUACCACAUUAAUUUUUUGAUUAGCAGUCAUUUUUCUUUUUAAUCAGAUAACACCUACUUUAUCGACACUAGUUUCUUCAUACACCAUGGUAAAAGUUUUGUUAUCGGCUGCUUUUUCAAAAAAUGAUAAGGAGCUAUAUAUAUAGAUAGCAAACCAAAGAAAGUUGCCCUAACUACACACCUGAGACUUAAAUGCUCUAUGUUUCUAUCUUCUUUCAAUAUUUAUCGUUUGCAGUGGUUUAUAUGUUAGUUGUUUCAGUUCUUGUUGUUGCAGUAAUGUCGAUAUGGAGAUAAUAAAUAGGCAAACAUCUAUCUUCCAUAUCUGCACAAUCGAUUAUGUAUCAUAUGUAAUCAUUACUUUUUACAUUUUUUUAUUAGUUUGACCAGGGGGCGCAAUAUCUUCGAAGAUUACAGAGCAUUUAAUGCUCGUGAUCUUGCGGAAGGAGACUAGUGAUCCUCUGCUUGUAUAGGAACAAUUAUGUCAUAUUUAAUUUGCAAGAAAAUUUUCACCUAAAUAACGAAAUGAUAUGUAUAGAUCCUUAAUUAUUUUCUCCUGUAGGUAUAUAUAUUUCAUUCACUCUUUUUAGUUUAAUGAAAUAGUAAAUGACAAUAUUAUCCUCAUCUUAUUCUUUAGAUCUUAGCGACUGCAACCCUAAUUUUUGUCGUAUCGUUUUUCACAAUUCUUAUCAUUUUUUCUUACCCUUUAAUGAUUUAUACCCAAAUAUAAUAGAUCUACAACCUAAAGACCGAUUUAAAACUUGUAUUUCUUUUUAAAAAAUGAGUUUUUCUAAGAGUUUUCAAUUUUUUUUGGCGAUUUCAACAAAUCGAGGCGGUGGUGGUCUGAAGAGCGCUUAGUUGGACGAGUAAUCGGUUAGACGACCAAUUUUUAGAACAAGGGUCUUGACAAUCCACAAUGCAAGUGUUGAAUUAUUUAUUCAAUUGUUGAACCUUCACAUUGCACAUGUUGAAUAGUUUAAAAAAUCUUACGUGGAUUCAACUUGGUUGAAAGUAUUCAAUAUGUUAUAAAGAAAAAAUUUGGGCCCGCGCAUGCCACAUGUCAAUAAAUGAGUAAAGGAUGUGUUUCAAACUCGGAGAAAGGAGAGCGUAUUGUCCAAACCUUUUUCUUUUUACUUUUAUUUUUUUUUGCAAAAAGAAGAGAUUAUUGAGAUGCUCACACUUGCUAUAUUUUCAUUAGAUAUUAAGAUUUUGGAGAUUUUAUUUCUAUCUUAUUUAUUUACAAUCAAUUAUUACAUACCAAACAAUUUUUUUUUAAAAACUUAUAUUUAUAUGAAAAUUUAUAAAUUUUUAAACUCUAGAAAUAGAGACUUAGUUCAUUUUAUUUGGACACAUAAAAAAUAUUAUUUCUACCAUAAUUUUCUUAUUCUUCUCCCAUAAACUCUUGGUUAUAUCCUUUUUUUUUAUGGAUUCUAAUAAAAUCCCUAUGCAAAAUUAUACUAAUUUUUCCUUUCCCUAUCCUAAUUCCAACAAUAAUCCUACGCAAAAUUCGACUAAUUACGUUUUUCCUUAUCAAAAUCCCAACAAUUAUCAAUUUCAAAAUCUAUCUUUCAACCAACCUCAAAAUUUCCCAAAUUAUGAUUUUCUACCAAAUUUUUCUAUGCUCUCAUCUGUUCCAAACUAUAAUUCAUAUUAUAGAUCGAUUCCAAAUUCAUCUCAACCACCUCUUUAUGAUUUGAGGUUGUGAUUUUCAUUGACAUCAAAAAGAAAAAAAAAAAAAAUAUCACAGAAAGGAGACAAUGAAUAUGAUUAAUAUUUAAUUGGUAAACUAUUAGAUUAGGCGGGGGUUUUCUCAAAAAUUGUCUCUUUUGUAGGACUGUUGUCACCAAUAUUUUCAGUAUCUUUUACUUUUAUUAAUUUUUAAUAAAAUUUAUGAUAAUAAAAAAAAUGAAAAUAAUCGUAAAUAAAAGAAAAAAAGAGAGUUGUGGGUUCUUUCUUUUUAGUUACCCACGCAUCGCUGUCGAAAGAUUAAUUAUGAAAUCAGAUGUUUGGUUGAGUAUAAUAGUAAUGCAUGUCAUUAGUUUAAAUUUAUAAUAUUAAACAAAAUUAUAAAUAAGAUAUUUGAACAAAACAAAAUUAAGUUAGUUUAAACGUUAAUUGGAAACCAAAUAAGAGAUCUGUUAGGAAAAAAGAAAAUAUAUACCAAAUAAGAGAUACAGGAAAUCAGAAAUUUUAAUAUUAUGUGUUUGAAUCUUCUCACCAAAAAAAAUUAUGUGUUUGAAUCUUCUCACCAAAAAAAAUUAUGUGUUUGAAUCUAAUUGAUUAAUGGACACGGUCUAGUAAAUUAUAAUUUUUUUGACCCGCGAAAUAUAGUGAAACAGAGUUUAUCUCUAUACAACAAGACAAAAAAGAAGUUCUAAGAUCAAACUCUGUUUGAUAUACAAAAAUUAUAUUGUAAAUGAAAAUGGAACUUUGAGAUUGAUCUACAACAAGUCUGCUACACUCAUCACAAACGUAAUGUGAUUAUACACAUCCACGUUGGCCGCAAAAACUAAGGAUCUUGUAUCAUCUGGAUCAACAGACAAAAUCAUAUUGCAAUAGUCAGCAGCAUCACGUGCGAGACUAAGGUCGUCAUCAGUCUCAUCAACAUCACCAUUGCCCAUUGACCGCUGUGCCUUCAUUAGCCCCUCGACAACAGAAUCUUUAUAGUUCUCCAUACAACUCUUGAAACAUGGCUUCUUAGGAGAACCAAUGAGAAACUGUGUGUGCUCUGCCUUCUCCAUGGCUAGAGAAAGAGCCGCCUUAGCCAACUCUAAUACAGUCGAUGCGGAUUUCGUGCGAUGAUCUAACGUUAGGGAUUUGAUACAUUCUUCUUCUAGGGACGAGAAUGACGCGGUGCCUUUACAAGCCUUUGAUAUCAGUAAUGAUGGAUAUGGACAUGUCUUUGGUUUGGUUGAUAAAUGGGUAGCAAUGUUGGAUUUUGCAUUGGUAUAUGGCCACCGCGAGAGGAGAAGGAAGGUUAGGAUAUGGAUUGAUAGGUAUGCAUGAGAAGCAUAUAAACAAACCAUCGUUUUAUAUGUUCAACAAAGCUUGUUCUUUGACUAUAGGUUUAAAUGAAAUAGUAGAUUGAAGUUUGUACAUAUAUUAACUUUUGUUGUGUCAAUGGUUUAAAUUGUCCAUUGUUUAGUUCCACAAGUUUUAAACAUGAUAUGUUAUUUAUAGGUUUGGAAUGAACGAUAGAGGAAAAAUAAACUUGUCAACGCUAAUAAUAAAAGAGUGUAUCGAAAAAGAGAGAAAAAAACAAAAAUUCAUUGUGAUUCUUUUGUUAUUUUGUUUUUCAAUGAUUCAAUUCAAUGUCUUAAUUUCUCUCCUAACAUAAAAGUUAGUUAUGGGCAUUCGGUUAUCCAGUUUCGGUUCGUUUCCAUUCCGUUAUCGUUCUUUCGGUUCUAGAGUUUAGUAUCCAUUCAGUUAUUUUGAUAUUUCGGUUCGUUUCAGUUCUUACAGUUCUAAAAUUUAAUAUACAUUCGGUUAUUUUGCUUUGAGUAUUUUUGGAUAUUUCUGUUAUUUUUAUAUUUUUGAGUAUUUUUACUAUUUAUAUAUACUUUUUAGUAUUUUUAAUUAUUUAGUCUAGAAAUGACUAGUAUUUUUGAAAAUAUAAUUAUAUUUCGGAUACUUUUGGUUAUCCAAAAUAUUUCAGUUUGUAUCCACUCGAUUUCGGUUCUUUUGGUUAUAGAAUUUUAAUAUCCGUUAGGUUAUUUUCAAAUUUUCGGUUUUGCUCCGUUUUUUUACAUCGGUUGCGGUUCGGUACAUUAGGUUCGUUUUAUAUGCCCAAGCCUAAUAAAAAUCAUGUUCAUUUUGGUAUUUAUAGCUUUAGUAGACACAUGUUUAGUAAAACAAAUUCUCAAACAAGAAGAUUUAUGGAAUACCUUGUAAGACUACUUAGACUAGUUACAAUGGUUUGGUGGUGAAAAAAACAUUUCCACUACGAUGGUGUGCUGUAAUCAAAGCUAGGUGAUGUGGCAAAUUUAGUAUUGAUAAAUAUCAAUACCCGUGAAAGUAGAACAGAGAAGAUAAGUGUGACAAGUGUUAUAUUUUGAUUGGUUGCUUUGAUUUUUAUUUUUUUUGUUUCAUCUCAACUAUAUAACUUCAAUUAUUUUAUAAUAUUUGUACAUAAAAAUAUCAAAAUUUAUAUCAAAAUUUCUAAUUUUACAUUCUCUAUAAAUAGAGACUAUUUUCAUUUGAUUUGGAUACAGAAAAAAAAACUAUUUUUAGACCCAAAAAAGGUAUAAUCGCCAAAAAAAAAACUUUUGUUUUACCUUUAAAUAUCUUUUUAUCUAAGUGGAUCCAAACAAUAACCCUUUCAACACCCAAAACUCUUCUAAUUACCCUUUUAACUAUGCAAAUCCCAACAAUUAUCAGUUUCAAAAUCAAUCUCCUAACCAACCCCAACAAUUAUCAGUUUCAAAAUCAAUCUCCUAACCAACCCCAACAUAUAUCAAAUUAUGGUUAUCCACUAAAUUUCUUCAUGCCGUAAGCUGUUCCAAACUAUCGUCCAUUUCAUGGAUCGAUGAUGUCUUAUCCAUCUUAAACACCUCCUUAUUUUCCUACUCCAACAGGUAAUGAAACUGAUUCGAAUCUUGGAGCAACUGAUUUUCCCGAGUUUUCUACCCAAAUGGCUCUUGGUGGUAUUAGGGUAUUCAUGAAGCCAUUCCAGAUGCAAAGGAUUCAACUCCUUCUCGUCGGAGAAGUCCCAAAUGGACCACUGAUCAAAAUUUGGUUCUCCUGAGUGGGUGGAUUAAAUUUGGAAGAGACAGUAUUAUUGGCAAAAACUAAAAAUGUGAGUCAACUGGGGUAAAAUUGCUGAAUAUUGUAAUGAACAUUGCUCAUUUGAUCCUCCCCGUGAUGGAGAAGCAUUCAGAAAUCACUAUAAUUAUGUGAACAAAAGCGUGAACAAAUGGGCUGGCGCUUAUGAUAACGCUAAAUGUAUGCAACAAAGCGGGUGGUUGGAGGAUGAUGUAUUGGUAAAAGCGCAUGAAUUAUAUUCAAGUGCUGGUAAAAGAAGUUUCAAAUAGGAGGAAAUACUUAUUCUGGAAGCAGUGGAUCUAAAAGAGCCCACGAGAGUGAUGCUAGUGACUCAAACUCUGUAGGAUCUAGUGCUCGUCCAAUGGAAAGAGAUGCUGCUAAGAAAAAGCUAAAAAAAAAGGUAAAGGCGCAGCGUUGAAAGUGGUCAACGAAGAGUCGAACGAAUUUUAACAAUUCAAGGCACAAGAGUUGGAUAGGUUGGAGAAAAUAACUAUGAUGCACAGUGAAACAAACCAAUUGAUUAAGGAAAAGACUCAUGCUAAAAAGAUGAAGAUGUUUAUAGAGCUAACUGAAAAAGAGAAUCUCGAUGACAAGAGCAAAAAGCUAUUGCAACAAUUGAGCCACGAUCUAUUUGGAAAUUAAUUAUUGUCAAGUGGUUAUCUGUAUUUUGUCACUUCAUGCUUUAACGUGUGUUUGUCACUUUCUCCUUUAAUAAUUUGUAUUGUCAUGUUAUGCUUUAAUAAUGUGUGUUUGUCACUUUCUCCGUAAUUUGUAUUGUCUUCUAUGCUUUUUUUUUUUGUGCGAAAUAUUGUCUUAUAUGCUUUAUUAAUAUUAUCCAUGAUUUUAAAUAGAGAAUCUUAUCUUAUCCAUGACUUUUGGUUUGAAGCACUCAAUUCGAAUCCAAGGCACCAACAAUUUAAUUCGUUGUUUCCAUUUUUUUUAUAAAUUAGAACUCAUUCUUCCAUUGAUGUACAAACCAUAAAUCUUACCUUACUAAAAAUCUCAAUGGAUCCAUCAGAAUAUCCUUUUGACAUCAAAGCUUACAAGAGGCAGUCUGAAAUUGAAGAGAUGUAUAUCAUCAAUCGGUUUAGGGAGCGUCGAAACAAAAUAGGGGAAGACUAUCCACCUCGUAGCAAGAGAAAAUACUUUAAAAGAGACCAUGCAUCAGCAAAAUUAAAGAAUAUUGACGACUACUUUGCCAAUGAACCUAUAUAUGACGAUGCAAUGUUUCGUCGGUGAUUCCGGAUGAGAAAACAUAUUUUCUUUCGGAUCGUUGAAGACUUAUCAAACAGCGACAACUAUUUCACCCAACGAUAUGACGCAGCCAAGAAAGAAGGUAUAUCUCCAUUACCAAAAUAUACUACGACCAUGCGAAUGUUUGCAUAUGGUGUGGCAGCUGACGCGGUGGAUGAAUACAGUAAAAUUGGAGGUACUACUACUUUAGAGUGCUUGCGAAGAUUCUGUAAAGGAAUCAUAAAGCUGUAUGAGACAGAGUAUCUCAGAGCCCCAACUCAAGAUGACCUCCAAAGAAUUUUACGUGUUAGUGAGAUGCGAGGGUUUCCCGGGAUUAUUGGGAGUAUUAAUUGCAUGCAGUGGGAAUGGAAAACUUGUCCUACAGUGUGGGAAGGUCAAUUUACUCGAGGAGAUAAGGGAACCACCACUGUUAUUUCUGAAGCAGUUGCAUCUCAUGAUCUAUGGAUCUGGCAUGUUUUUUUGGAUGUCCGGGCACACUAAACGAUAUAAAUAUCCGUUCACCGGUGUUCGAUGAUGUUGAACAAGGAAAUACUACAAGAGUGAAUUUUUUUGUGAGCCAACAUCCGUAUAAUAUCGCUUACUAUCUAGCUGAUGGUAUUUAUCCUUCUUAUCCUACUUUCGUCAAAUCGAUUAGGCUACCUCAAAGUGAACCAGACAAGUUAUUUGUACAACGUCAAGAGGCGUGUCAUAAGGACAUCGAACGUGCAUUUGGAGUGCUGCAAGCUCGAUUUAAAAUCAUUCGUAAACCAGCUGGCCUGUGGGACAUAUUCGAGUUGGCUAUCAUCAUGAGAUCGUGUAUCAUAUUGCAUAAUAUGAUUGUUGAGGAUGAACGAGAGACAUAUGCUCAACACUGGACGGAUUAUGAUCAAUUUGAGGCAAGUGGGUCGAGUACACAACAACCAUUCUCGACCCAAGUGCUACUCCUAUUUGCAAAUCAUGUGCGUGAUAGAUCCAAAUUGCGUGAUUCAAAUGUACAUCACGAAUUGCAAGCAUAUCUAGUCAAACACAUAUGGGCACAAUUUAGAAUGUUCUUGUUGUCUGCUUAUUGUAUUUUUGUAUUUUAAAUUUGUGUUCAUUGUAUGUGUUUUAGUAAUAAUAAUUUUUUCUUCUCGUUUUAAUUAUUUGUAAAAGUUUUUAAAAAUAUUAUAUAAAAUAAAAACAAAUAUAAACACAACAAUACUUUAUAAAACUAUUUAAUGUUUAAUUCUUUUAAAUUUAAUUUGAUAUUAACGAUGGUUAAUAAUAUGUAAUCACAAAAAACAUAAACAUAAAUAAAAUGAAAAAUAUGGAAUAAAAAUGGUGGGGUAAGAUGUUGUAAUUUUACUAAACAAAAACUAUUGUAAAGAUAAAAAUUGGGUAGGUGUUGAAUAAUGAUGUGGAAGAAAGAGAAGAUGAUGUGGAGUGUUAAAAGUAAAAAAGUGGGUGUUGUAAAUGAGUAACCAUUGUGGAUAGUCUAAGGAUAAAAAUUGUAUAGGUGUUGAAUAAUGAUGUGGAAGAAAGAGGAGAUGAUGUGGAGUGUUAAAAGUAAAAAAGUGGGUGUUGUAAAUUAGUAACCAUUGUGGAUAGUCUUACAAUGGACACGUUGAAAAAAAUAUUUGAAUAUGGUGCAAUGGUUGUUUUAAUAAAUGUUGUAGAGGAUGUGGCAAAUUUGGUGAGUAGGGAAAAAUAUCGUUUAAUAUUCCAACUUUCAAAUUAUGGCCAUUUUAUACCUCAACUUUAUAUGUGACCAUUUUAAAUAUGAAGAUAUCGUUGACCAACCGUUUAAACCAUAAACAUUAGUUGACCAGGCUAAAAAAACUAACCGUUAUCACUCGUUAACAGAUUAUCUAACGUCCGUUAACAUCUCCAUUAGCUACCCCUAAACGACGUCGUUUUCAUAUUUUAAAAAUAAAUAACGAACGUAGGAUUCAAACUUGUAACCUAGAGAAAAACUAGAGACUUACUUAACACCCUCACCAACAGUAUUUUAUUGGUGAACUUUGAGAAACAUAUAUUUAUUAAAGUUUUCUCCUUCAACUUUAACCUACAAAACAAAACCAUCUCCAUAGCCGCCGCCUCCAAAUCCGUGUUCUCUCUCCAUUGAUUUUUUUAAUCUUAAUCAUAUAUUGUUUUUUGUUGAUUGAAAAAAAUUUGUAUUUGCUAAUUCAAUUCAUCUGGAACCUAUUUCUAUGAACACCAUUGAUGGAUUAGUCAAUUGAUAUGAAAUCAGUUACACAAACAGCACUAGUUCUUCGUCGUCUCACAUGCACCUUCGUUGUCUCACGUACACCUUGUGUAUAUGAUCUGUGAUUGCUCUUAAGCGGAUCUGAUGUAUUUAACGGCAUAAUAUAUAAUUAUGUGUUUCCGAAUAAUAAUUAUUAAACACUUUAUCUUAGUUGGUGUGGACAAGCAUAGGGAGCACUCGAAAGUUACGGGUUCGAAUCUUGAGUAAGUUAUUUCUUUUUAAAAUAUAAAAAUGACGUCGUUUAAGGGUAGCUAAUAGAUGUUAACGGACGUUAGAUAAUCUGUUAACGACUGAUAACAGAUAGUUUAUUUGGCCUGGUUAACGAAUGUUUAUGGUUUAAACGGUUGGUUAACGAUAUCUUCAUGUUUAAAAUGGCCACAUAUAAAAUUGUGGUAUAAAAUGGCCAUAAUUUGAAAGUUGGAGUAUUAAACGACAUUUUUCCUGUUGUAAUUUGUCAACACCGUGAAUUUUACUGGGUGGGGUUAUCUUUGUCUUGUGUUGUGUUUUCAUUGGUCACUAAAAUUUGACUUUUUCGUCCAAUAAUUUUUGAACUCAAUUAAAUUAUAAUAAACUUUUUUUUUUGUCAUCUGAUAAUUUAUUAAAGAAAAAAAUAAUAAAGUACAUAGUUAGAUCCAAAAGCCAAGUAGAACAGAAAGAGAAACAAAAUAAAAGAGAAACAACGAGAGAUACAAAAUGAAAUUUAAACUUUACUCUCCUCAAACACUUGAUUGUGAAACCAUGAAGGCUCUCCAAGUGCUAUGUAAGACUGAAACCUUCUUUCUUGAAUCACACUUCGAGAAAUGGAUCGCGCGAUCAGAUUUGCGUUUGUGGCAAUAUGACGGAAUGUACAAGAUUCAAAUGCACCAGCAAUCUCAUGGAUUUGUGCUAACCAAUUCCUGUAGAAAGGCCAUUUGGACGGCUGCAAAACGGCGUUAACUGCGGCUGGAUAUUCCAACUCUAUUAUCACCUUGGAGACGUGAAUAUCUUGAAAUGCUUUCAACGACCGUAGAAUGCAGCACAGCUCAGCCCCUGUUCGAUCUUGAAUUGGCGUAAACGCAUCUCGUGCAUGGUGUUUAGCUUGCCCUAUAUCUCUUACAAUUCAAGCUCCUCCACACAUCGAUUGUUUAUUUAUCCAAAAAGAAUUCAAAAUGCAUUUAAGAAUACCUUCUUGGGGUUUCCUCCAUUUGUUUCCAUCCAAAUUGGAGGUGAUUGCCGAGAGAAUACUGUUGAAGGCUACGUGUUCACCAUUUUCCAAUGCAUUGUGUCUUCAUACGCUUUUUGAACUAAAACAUGAAAAUUCCAUACCUUUACUUUGAAAACGGUAUGAUUACGAUUCUUCCAAAUUGCCCAUAGAACCCAUGGAAUUGAUAGUCGAGUUUGCUUUGGUAUGUGCUUGUCUUCGAUAACAUUCAAUAGAUGAGAGAAGUUUGCUAGUAAGGUUGUUGAAGAAAAACCUUGAUCCGAAGCUUGCACAAAAUGCUGAGAUUAAUAUGCUUAAAAGGAGAAUAUGGAAUCUAAAAUCUGAGCCACAAAUCAAGCUUUUCUGUUGGCGUGCUCUUUCUGGUGCUUUGGCUGUGGCAGAACGUUUAAGCUCACAGGGAAUACAACAUGACACAAAGUGCCAAAUUUGUGGUAUAGCUACAAAAACAAUAUGUCAUACUCUAUUCUCUUGUGACGUAUAGAAUAAGAAAAUGAUGAAUUUUGGUGUAAAUUAUUUAUGUAUCUAAUAGUAGUUAUUAAAAAAACCAUUGUAGUAUAUGAAAGUAAACUGAAUGUUGAAUGAUGAUGUGUAAGAGAGAGAAGAUGAUGUGUAGGUUGUUGUAAUUUUAAACCAAUGUAAAUAGUCUAAUAAAAAAAUAUUUGGGUUCACCCCACUCUUGUUCACCCUCUCUUAAUAAGCCAAUCAAAAUACAACAAAAUGCCAUGUCGUUUAAUAUUUAACAAUUAAAAUAUUUGGGUUCACCUCUAGGGUGGUUAAAGUUUAGAUUUUAUAAAUAAUUGAAAAUAUAUUUUGGUUGAGUUUAUAAAAUAGUGGUUAGAGUUUAAAUUUUAUAAAUAAACAAAAUUAUAUUUCGGUUUGGAUUGAUAAAAUAGUGGUUAGGUUUAGAUUUUGUAAUUAAACGAAAUUAUAUUUCGGUUUGGGUUGAUAAAAUAGUGAUUAGGUGUUAGAUUUUGUGAUUAAACUAAAUUAUAUUUUGGUUUUGGUUGAUAAAAUAGUGGUUAAAGUUUAGAUUUUGUGAUUAAACGAAAUUAUAUUUUAGUUUGGGCUGAUAAAAUAGUGGCUAGACUUUAGAUUUUGUAAUUUAAUUAAUUUAUUUUUUCAAUAUAUGAUAUGUCAAAUUCUAAUUGGUCAUUAAAAAAUGGUGAACCCAAGAAUUGUUCUUGUAAUAAUUAAACUUCUUAGAACAACAAAAAUUUACAAUAAAUUUAUAAAAGGAACAAUUAAAAAAAAAAAAAGGAGCAAAAAGCAUGAUAAAAGCUGAGAGAGGAAACUUAAAAAGCACACUUGUUUCCAAAACUAAAUAGGGUCAGUCCCAAAAUUGGAUUUGUAUAGUAACAAAUGAAUAACGGAAAAGAGAGUUUCAAGAUCUACGAACAACAGCAGUAGCGAAAUAAGGAUGAUGGGUGAACUCAAACGAUACCUUAAGCGAACGGUCUUGACAGAAAAGGUUCACAGCAACAAUAUUGCGUUCCGCGACUUUCUCUAAUCCCGUGACUUCAGCCAGCUUAUCAGGAUCGUUGGCGUAACCGACCUUUAUGUCCUUAGCGAUCUUUUGAGCAUCGUGAAAGUACUCAUACAUAGGAAGAUACUGCAGCAAAAGUAAAUAGAUACAACUUUACUUGCAUGUUCAAAACUCUUUCUAAUCGAACAUAGUAGAUUUAUACGUGUACACAUUCAUCACUAAAACAUUGUAAACAUUACCUAUGUUAUUAUUUGCUCAAUGAAGAUUGGGAUCUCAAUUUUCAUGUGUUUAUAUUUAUUAAUCAAGUUAUUGCUUUUAAGCAAAUAGUUAACUAAUAAAUCCUACAUAGAUAUAUUUUAAAUAAACUGUGAAUCCUAAAUUUUUCCGUAUUUUCCGAAUUACCUGAACCGAACUCAAGAUUUUGCGAUUUAUGGUAUUAAAGCAGAUAGUGAUUGUAGGUACCCGGACUACCUUUACAGUACUCGAUUCCCUAUCACCCAACCAAUUUUUUUAAGUGUAUGCUUCGGGUAGUAGAUUUAGAUAUACCUGAAAUAACCAUAUCCAACCCUUACCAGCUAUUACCUGACUCUAUACCCUAAAUGCACAUGCCUACUUCUACAAUUCAUUUGACCAAGUAAACAGGAUUAAGCACAAAAACAAAGUUGAAUAAAGCACACUUACGUCGAGACGAGCAUGGGAUGUGGAUUUUGAGAACGAUUCAUAUGCGUCAUAUUCUGGAAGGGAUGCCUUCUGAAGGAGUUCAAAAUGCUGUAUAAAUUUCUGCAUGUCAAGGAAAAUGGGUAGUUGAAGUCAUACACAGGAAGGGAUAAAACCACUCACCCAUUACUAAGGCUGAGGAUUUUUAUCUUACACAUUAAUUCAAUAACUAUGCAACAGAUAAAGAGACUUAUGCUUACCUCAUUUUCGGUAUUAAAAGGUCCUUGACUCUUUAAAGACAUUCCUUCAUUUCUCAAAGCUGCAAUCAUCUACGGGUAAAUACACAAGGUUUGGUCAGGUUUAGAGUACUUGAUAUCAGCAAUAGAAGGAGCUGGAAACCAAGAGAUUGAAGACAAAAUUACCACUGUGAGGCCUUGUGCAAGACAGGUCUGACAUUUGAGAAACAAUACCCAUAGACUAAUCCGAUCUUCCCGAGCCAUGUCCCUAGAAUACUCCUUAUUCCUCUUUGCUUUUCUUUCCUCUGAUCCAGAUGAAGGUAAAUGCAUUAUAAAAAGCUACAAAUACACACUAUGCAGUUAUGCCAAACCAAUUACUGUACAGAUGGUUCAUCUCCGAAACACUAGGACACAAAAUAAAAACAAAUGGAUAUAUGAAUGCUUACCAGUGUUCACAACGAUUAAGACCCUGAAACGUGCUCUUUCGGCAAGCUUCCAGAGUAUAAUAUACAUGUACCAGUAUACCAUGCAAUAUUCACUUGGCGAGUAGAGGUCUAGGUCAAAUCCCAGCAUGAGAAAGCGAAUUGCCACCCAAUUAAUUUGCUCUUCUAAUCCACCAUAUAUAUGGUUUAAAAUGAGUAGAGACUUAUCCUGAAAGGUACAUAAAUGCAAGUUAACACAAAAUUCAAUAUCUGCUUAUCAAUAGAGCCAAAAUUUUCCGAAAGAGAAAACAGAAGUUGUAGGAAUUUUGACUACUGGUUUGUUCAUGCUAACAAUGAAUAGACAGCCGUCAACUAGAUUCAGAUAGAGGUUUGAUUAAAUGGACCCAUAGUGAUGGUAGUAAACCUACCCCAUUUUUCGAACUGCGUGAUGUAUCUUGCUGCAUCAUUUGACCAACAGCAAUCCCCAUCUGCCAAAUACAGGAAAAUGUAUGAAUGAGAUCUUGACACAAAAACCCAAAUCAAUAUGCAAACAAUUUUAGGGUAAGCGAGCUUACAUAUAGUUAAGUAAAGAAUAAUACAGUUCCAACAAAGGCACAAAUGGUAUAACCUGCACAUGGAAUACGCUCCAGUCAUUUAAGAUUUUCCCAAGCUUACGCCUCUGCCAUGGGGUAUUAGCGCAUAGUAUUUUAAGUAGAUUAACCAUCAACUGCACCACAAAAUGAGAAUAGAGAUCAAACAGAGAUUUCUAAGAAAGGAGCCAGUUGAAUAAUUAUCUAACUUUUUCAGGAUCCAGAGGCUACCAAAACCACAAAACAUAGACAAGGCAUUCUCAUCAAAGUCCCCAUUAAAACAAAUAAUUUUUUGUUGUUUCAAUCUUCUUGAUGAUUGCAAAUUAGUUACAUCCACACAUGCUGAAAUUCUCUGAGAUUGGGGCUUAUACGCCAGACACCGAAUAUUGAACAAAACCAAUGAAAGAUUAUUCUUUUCAAGGUUUUACCAAGUUCCAAACUCUUUUCAAGGAAGAAUAAAGAGCUACCUCAUACACGUUUGUAGAAAAAAAUGUACCCAACGUAUUCUUUUAAUAUACUGUGUUUACCUGAUUAAGUUGAAGAAUGUACUCAUUCGUAUGGAGGCCAUGGUUCUUGGAGACAUCUAAUGCAAGAGAUCUGGCGCAAAUUGUCAAAAAGGUAUCACGGCCGUAAAGUUUCCCAUCUUGCACAAGGAGAAGCUGUAGAACAAGAUUAUUUAUUGAGUAUAAAAGGUAAAAGCAUUUUGCUAGCUUAAUACAUAAUUUAUUCACAAAUAUUGCUAAUAUCAUAACAAAAAUGGACAACCAUAUCAAUGCUUAACAGAAAUUUACAAUCAGAAUCAACCUCAACUACAAAUAUUGGAUCUAUAUUCUUAUAAGUCUUCAUAAGAAAGAAAAAUGAGAGUGUCAGCCACUACAUAUUCCAGUGUCAUCAUAAAUAAUAUCUAGAUAACAAUAAUAGUAAAGAGUCAACAAGAAGAAUAAGCAGAGCAUUCAACAGGCCUGUUGGCGAAAUGGGGCUUGAGGUGGUUCACGAGAGUUGGAUAUUCUCUAGUCCAUUGGUUCUAAGUUUAUGCAACUGUUCUUACAGAAAUAAAGGAGAUUUCUACUAUAGUCAUAUGGCUGAAUCACUCAACUCUAAGUGACAAUGAAUUGAAAAUGAGUGCUAAUGAACACAAAACUGCAAAGCAAGGAAGCGGGUAAAAGAAGAAGCCAUAUUAUCCACUAUACAAACACACCCUAGUGGAUGUAUGCGAACAUCAGUGCAACUACAGCCAAAAUAGUUACUCAAAACAAGAAAACAAAAUGAUAAAUGGGUAUCUGAAAGCACAGAGCUGCAUGAUAUUGAUGCGUUAAGUUAAAGUAACGCACCUGAAGAUGAGCCCUAGCAACCAAAUCAGGACGAGAUUUUUGAAACUGAAUCACAAACUCCAAGACGGCCUCUAAAUCUGGUUCCAAUGAAAAUGCACAGAUCUUAUCCAGAUUGUGAAGAAGUUUCACAUAAUAGUCAAUAGCCUGGAGAAUCAAAAAUUGAAAAAAGUUACUAAAAAGUUAUAUACACACAAACUAAAUUACGUAUACAGAGAAUUUAGAAGUCCCAACCUUUUUCCAAGAAAGAAGUUUAAUGGCACGUGGCGGCGUUGGAGCUGAUAAUCUUUUGUUUAAAGUAGGAUCAAAUCCAAUGGGGGACCGACCAGAAGCAGUUGUACUUUCUUCUAUCUCGUUUACGCCAUUCUCGAAAAUAUCUAAUCUUAGAAAUUCUGCUGAAUCCAGAACAGAAUCUAGCUCUGAUAUGCAAUAGCCUAUAUGUUUCCUUGCCAAUUCGAGGCCACGUCCUUGUGGUCGUCUCAUACAAUUAAGAGCAUGUAGAAAAUGCUGAAAGUUAUUGAGGAUAUGUUAAAACAACUAGCAGUGCAAAAGUAUAUAACAGCUACUAUUUUUUUUUUUAAAAUGGCUUACGAAACAAAAUAAUAAUAACAUCAUGAAUCACAUGUCUGGCGAGAAUUUUUAACCAAAAAUAAGGGUAAACAGGUAAUAAAAGCUGCCAUAUACUCAAAAUUUAGUCUCUGCUAAGCUUGUUCAUUCUUGUAAGUUGCAUAACAUGGAAAAUUUAACACAAUAAAACAUAUAUUAACUUUGUCUACCACUCCCCAUUGUGAGGUUAGGUUGAAGAAAAGCAACUCAUCAUACUCUUGUUACGUGUAGUUUAUCAAAGAAAGAAUAAAUAAAGCAUGAGACCUUACGGAACACUGGAUAAAAGACCAAAUGCAAAUUUUAAGUACUAAUUGUAGUUUUUCUUUUUCAAAGCAAGCAAUAAAAAAUUCUAUUCAUCGAUGGCCACCAGAAUACUAAUAAAAGGAACAGACUUGGGACUAUAUUAUACACUAGUUAACAUGACUUAAGUUGGGAAAACCUGUAAU
rnacentral:lncRNA from 1 species